GAUGAACGCUGGCGGCGUGCCUAAUACAUGCAAGUCGAGCGAACAGACGAGGAGCUUGCUCCUUUGACGUUAGCGGCGGACGGGUGAGUAACACGUGGGUAACCUACCUAUAAGACUAGGAUAACUUCGGGAAACCGGAGCUAAUACCGGAUAAUAUUUCGAACCGCAUGGUUCGAUAGUGAAAGAUGGCCCUGCUAUCACUUAUAGAUGGACCUGCGCCGUAUUAGCUAGUUGGUAAGAUAACGGCUUACCAAGGCAACGAUACGUAGCCGACCUGAGAGGGUGAUCGGCCACACUGGAACUGAGACACGGUCCAGACUCCUACGGGAGGCAGCAGUAGGGAAUCUUCCGCAAUGGGCGAAAGCCUGACGGAGCAACGCCGCGUGAGUGAUGAAGGUCUUCGGAUCGUAAAACUCUGUUAUUAGGGAAGAACAAACGUGUAAGUAACUGUGCACGUCUUGACGGUACCUAAUCAGAAAGCCACGGCUAACUACGUGCCAGCCGCCGCGGUAA
rnacentral:rRNA from 1 species